UUGUUGUUCUCUUAGAAAAUUUCACGGUAAGCAAGAGCAAGCAGCGGCCGACCCCUUUGUGCACUGAUAAGAUCCCGACGCCGUGGGAGGAAAGGUUUUCUCAGCUUGCCGAAGUCACACUGACGUUUCCGGAGAGGAAGAAGGGUCGCCGAGGAGCACCAUCAUCUAUCCGUUCGUGCUUCUACAUCUUUGGAGCCCCAAGUUUGAACUUGUUGAAGGUGCUGUAGUUUUUAACUCACUUUGUCGAUUCCAUCCUCGUUGUUGCCAAGAGUCAUCUUUGGUACUUGGUUUUACUUGGUCUUCGAGGAGUCCGGUUUCUUUUACAAUCCGGUUAGGCCUCGUUCUUCGAAGUAUAUAGGGAUCUGUUUGUCCCUAUUUGCUUCUAAUCUAGGACCAAGUCCAUGCCUCCCAAGAAAUCAAGAGUGUUAAGGAAGAGGAAAAAAGUGGACUAUACUGGAAAAGAGCUUGGAGAAAUCUUUAGCCCAGAUGGUUUUGUAACACCGAGAUAUGUCUUUUCUACAAGUGACUUACCAGUUUAAUAGAUAAAUACAGACUUAUUGGCGAGCUCAGGCUUAGAGUCCCUAUUAACGAUGAGCAAGCAGGCUCCCCACCAGAUGGGUAUACCGCUUGGAGUCCCAUGCAUUGCCAAGCAGGUGCCUUCCUGCUGCUUCAUUCAUACUUUGUGGAAAUAUGUGACUAUUUUGGAAUAGCCCCAUUCUAAUUGACGCUGAACAACUACAGACUAUUGGUACUACUGCGUAUUCUGUUUAGAGUGUUAGAUUGGCCUCCCCUUGAUGCUUUGGAGGUUCACUUCUUAUUCAAUAUCAAGUCCAACCGUGUGUCAAGUUAUGAAGGAUUCUACCACUUGUGUAGCUAUUCUGGUGGGGAAGUCCUUAGGAGUGGUGUCUCCAACCCUAGUCGCUACUCUAGUCAAUACUUUUUUACUAAUGCCCUCUAGUCCGAGCAUAGGUCAUUCCAUGAUAUUGUUAAGUAUCUGAUCGUUUUCCUUUCAAUAGUUGUUUGUUCGCUUCCUUCACGUUAAGCUUACUCUGCUCAUCUAACUUGUUGUUUUAGGUCGUUAUAGGCAACCUGAUCCAACCUCUGAGAUGCAAGAGCAUAUUUCUCAGUUGAGUCUCGAUUGGAUGGCAAGUAUAGGAAUGUGUCUUUCCUUAUUAAUGAUGACAAUUUUUUAUUGGUCGAUCUACUCGAACCACACCAGCCAUUAGAUCAUCUAUCACCACCUUCGGAGUUUGACUACAUUCCUUUUUUUGAAGUUCGAGAUUCUAUACAUGAGAGGCGAUCAGAAGAGGUUUUUGUUGUUUGUGACAAGCUUGAGUCAAUUCACUUCGAGGUUUCAUCUGCUUUCCCUUCCCCAAGCAGUCUUUAUUCUAGGUUGCCCAACUGUUCUGAGUUUGACUUAUCGCAAGUGCCUCUCCCUUCUGAAACUUUUAGUGACAUGGGAGGUCUUGGUCUAUCACUUAUAAAUGAGGAACUACCCCUCCCUCAUUGGUUAAAUGAAUACUUUCCAAAGGAAACUUUUACUGAUAGUCCUUCUUGUAUACUAUUUUUUCUUAACAAUAUUAUGACUGAUGUAAUUUUUUUGCAACUUAUCUGACCAUUUUUCUUUAUGCAUGAGAGAUGAAUGCUCGAGCUUUGUUCAGUGGCCCUGAGGGUAUAGGUGCAAGGGCUAACAAGAGGAGGAAACAGUUAAAGAACAAGAAUAAGGGGACCCUUGCAGAGCCUUCUUCUGUUCGUUCAUGCUAGAGCCGACUUCUAGCUGGGGUUACACCGUCAGCCACUGCAGCGACUGCUAGUGUGGUUCCAAUGAUCCGGUUCUCAUCUCCUAUAUUACCUUCUCGUGUUCAAAUGCUGGUACCUAGAUUUGAAGAGGUCAUCAAGAGUGACGAAAUACGGGAAAAAUGGUCUUUCUCCGGAGUGUGCGUCCCUAUUCUAUUGGCAACACUAUUCAUACAAUGAUCACCUUGACCAACCUAUCUGAAUCUAUCGGGCAGUUGAAGAAGGAUAAGGAAGUACAUGUUGUGCCCUCAUGUCUGAGAUAGACACUGUUCGUGGUGAGAGGAAUAGUUGUAAGACUGAGCUCGAGCAACUCAAAAGUUCUUCUUGUACCGAGAUAAAUCAACUAAAGGCUGAGAUUGAUCAUCUUCAGAAGUCUCAUACUGCUAAGGUUGAGCAACUUAAAGCCAAUGAAGAAGCUGAUCGCCUUCAAACCCUUGAAGAAGAAGGAGAUAUCUUAAAUAACAUGUUCUUUCACGUCUGGAAACACAACCGCAAUAUUGAUUUAAGAUUUUUGAAUGGUGAAUAGAAGUCCCUACUAGAGGCUUGUGAACAGACACUUGUUGAUGAAGAAAACUCUUAUGUUUGUACCUCCUUAGUACAGUCGGGGGAUGGUGAUCUUUCAAGGCAUGAAGAUCUUGCUACCAACACUUAUGCUGACCCUUUAGCUACCUCAGGUGACUAGACCCUUGAGCCAGAGUCCUAAUAACUUAGUCUCUAGCGUGCCUUAUGUUGGAGUAUUUUGUACUUGCAUACUCUUGACUCUCUGUUUUCUUUUGUAGUAUGUACUUUCAUGCCAAGGAACAAACCAUUUUGCCUUU